GAAGAGAGGAUGUGAAAGGAAUGCAUUACGCCAGCAUGCUUGACGUCAGUCGGUCAACAUAACCCACAGAUGGCAGUCUGACAGAAAACCUGCUGGACAGCAGCAAAGACGCCUCCCCAAGGCUUGGAGCAAAGGGGCAACAAUAGGUGUUCAGAGCUGGAGAAAGCAUAAGAAGAAAAGGGUCACGGGCUACUGAAAAAACACAGAGCAGAAGACAAAAGAGGUAUCCAGCACUUGGUAAAGCAUACAGUCCCGAGGCAGCGUCUGAAAGCCUCAGCCUCCCCACUUGGUUGAAUAGAAGACAAACAAAGAGAAUUACACAACUGAACUUCGAGCAAGGAAACAAAGUGGUAGCCUGGAUCUUGAGGGAAUGUGACUGGAGGAGGGUGAAAUCUGCAAAUGGGAGUGAGACACAAGUGUUCACUAAGAGGUCUGGGCUGGA
ensembl:lncRNA